CGGAGAAGCGCGUUAAAGAAAAAGUUACUAUCGUGUGCACAAUUUGACUUUCAUUUCGGAUACAAAGUGCGAAAAUGAAAAGAGUAAAAUGGUAAGUGCUCGGCGACAGAAGAAACAAGUAGUAGCUGUGCUUAAGCCCGCCAAUAAAAUUAGUGAACGGAAGCACCAUGAACAAGUCGUUUGGAAUGAAAAACGAAAAGGAAGCAGUUCCGAAGGACUCGUUUUGGAUGAGAACUCACUAGAAAUAAAGAAUGAUUUUAGUCACGUAGUUCACUGUUCGAUUUCGAAGUGUCCGGCCUCUACUCCAUACGUUUAGGUGUCACUAACCGUACACGCAAAUCCGCUUCAAUCGCCGCUGGUUGUCUAAAAAAAGUAAUUCGUCGCAGACGGCCAAGCAACGAAUCUUUGUCCACGCAAUCAGAGUGUUCCGUUAGUUUUGAUGGAGUUGCAGGUAAAAAUGUAUUUGACGAAUUUCAGCGCAUCGGUAAGAUGAAAAGAACUCUCUAAAACUGUGUGCUUGUGUGAAGUUUACUCCGAAACCAUAAUAAAUAGGCAUUCCGGAACAGCAGCUCUUAGCAGCAAGUUGCUUAACCCAACAAACAAAUCAAUUUUUACCGAAGUUCCAGGAUUUGUUGGACGUGAUCAGUUGGAGAAAUUCUCUACCGCUGGAUAUAAGAGUGACUACGUUUUUAUAAAACUUCUCAUGCUCGAAGUUUGGCCAGAUGGUCUGAGCGGUCGCUCUGUAACGGGGCGCAUGUCGAAUAAUCCGCUAGGUAGAGGACUCCAUACGUCUUCAGCUAGCUCACAGCAGGAUCGCUUUUCAAUCAAGACUGCGUUGGAGCCGGAAAAAGUUGAAUAUAUUGCAGGACGAUUAUAUGAACAUAGGCUGAAUAUGGGCGAUUCUCCAGCCGUAGCAAGAAUAAAUGCAGAAGAAUGUAAUCGAUUGAUGUCACGUGUGAUUUCCUAUCACGGAAAGCAAGUGACAAGCGGUCAUCACUGAAGAUUAAUGUUUUGGAAAUGUCGUGGCUAACA